rnacentral:rRNA from 1 species
UACGGAGGGGACUAGCGUUGUUCGGAAUUACUGGGCGUAAAGCGCACGUAGGCGGAUUUGUAAGUCAGGGGUGAAAUCCCGGGGCUCAACCUCGGAACUGCCUUUGAUACUGCAAAUCUCGAGUCCGGAAGAGGUGAGUGGAAUUCCUAGUGUAGAGGUGAAAUUCGUAGAUAUUAGGAAGAACACCAGUGGCGAAGGCGGCUCACUGGUCCGGUACUGACGCUGAGGUGCGAAAGCCAGGGGGAGCAAACGGG